GGCGGUUCUCGGGUGAUGCACCCCGGAAUCGGGCUUCCUCUUCUCUGGUUCCAGGGUGCAUCAUCCGAGAACUGCU
rfam:Myotis davidii contig25392, whole genome shotgun sequence.